rnacentral:rRNA from 1 species
GAUGAACGCUGGCGGCGUGCCUAAUACAUGCAAGUCGAGCGAACGGACGAGAAGCUUGCUUUUCUUAUGUUAGCGGCGGACGGGUGAGUAACACGUGGAUAACCUACCUAUAAGACUGGGAUAACUUCGGGAAACCGGAGCUAAUACCGGAUAAUAUUUUGAACCGCAUGGUUCAAAAGUGAAAGACGGUCUUGCUGACACUUAUAGAUGGAUCCGCGUUGGAUUAGCUAGUUGGUAAGGUAACGGCUUACCAAGGCAACGAUGCAUAGCCGACCUGAGAGGAUGAUCAGCCACACUGGAACUGAGACACGGUCCAGACUCCUACGGGAGGCAGCAGUAGGGAAUCUUCCUCAAUGGGCGAAAGCCUGACGGAGCAACGCCGCGUGAGUGAUGAAGGUCUUCGGAUCGUAAAACUCUGUUAUUAGGGAAGAACAGAUGUGUGAGUAACUGUGCACAUCUUGACGGUACCUAAUCAGAAAGCCACGGCUAACUACGUG